CCUACGGGAGGCUGCAGUGAGGAAUAUUGGUCAAUGGACGAGAGUCUGAACCAGCCAAGUAGCGUGAAGGAUGACUGCCCUAUGGGUUGUAAACUUCUUUUAUAUGGGAAUAAAAUGUUCCACGUGUGGGAUUUUGUAUGUACCAUAUGAAUAAGGAUCGGCUAACUCCGUGCCAGCAGCUGCGGUAAUACGGAGGAUCCGAGCGUUAUCCGGAUUUAUUGGGUUUAAAGGGAGCGUAGGUGGAUUGUUAAGUCAGUUGUGAAAGUUUGCGGCUCAACCGUAAAAUUGCAGUUGAAACUGGCAGUCUUGAGUACAGUAGAGGUGGGCGGAAUUCGUGGUGUAGCGGUGAAAUGCUUAGAUAUCACGAAGAACUCCGAUUGCGAAGGCAGUUCACUGGACUGCAACUGACACUGAGGCUCGAAAGUGUGGGUAUCAAACAGGAUUAGAUACCCGUGUAGUC
rnacentral:rRNA from 1 species